rnacentral:rRNA from 1 species
ACGCUCGACACCUACGGGAGCAGCAGUAGGGAAUCUUCCACAAUGGACGCAAGUCUGAUGGAGCAACGCCGCGUGAGUGAAGAAGGUCUUCGGAUCGUAAAACUCUGUUGUUAGAGAGGAACACGAGUGAGAGUAACUGUUCAUUCGAUGACGGUAUCUAACCAGCAAGUCACGGCUAACUACGUGCCUGCAGCCGCGGUAAUCUGAGCGGGCUGGCAAGGC